UGCUCUUCAGUGUGGAGUCCGUAGCUUGCAGCUAAUGACACGCAAUCAAGAACAGUCUUGUGCAGGGUGCUUGCAGUCUCCUGGACUCCCAGAUGUUUUGCUUGUAUGACCAUUUCAGAGCAUCAAGUGUGAAAUGCAGAAAGAAUCCAGAAUCAGGUCCCUCUCCUCAGCCCUAUGCUCUUUCAUAUUGCCUUGAACUGGAUGGAAAAAUGGCUUUGAACCAGAAUGGAAAGAUGGAAAGUGACAGAGACAUGGGAAGGAAGAAAUCCUCAACCUGGAAGUCUGGAUAAAGCCUCCUGCAAGCUGACAAGAAUAAUCAUAAACCCAGCAUAGUUAACAUUUGCUUAAAGCCUUCUCCUUUCUCAGCUCUAAGCCUGCAGUUUACCAAGAAUCUGACUUACCUACCAGAACUACCCAGUACAGUAAAAGGACUUGUCCAGAGAUCAUGCGACCUUGGUGGCUCUGAGUUUUUUACCUUAUCAAAUUAUAAUCCCAUCCAAGGCCACAUCAUAAUUUCAUCUACCAAACAGAAAGAGAAACAGGUAGAGUAAAGUUUUCUUAGCAACCCUCUGAGAUAUCAGUUACAAACCACAAUGCUUUGGAGGGAUCAUGCUAAGGCACAUUAAACCUGUAUUAAAAAUAAGACUGGUGAGAUGGUUCUUUAGGUAAAGCAUUCACAGUACAAGGGGGAGAAGCAGAGUUCAGAUAUCUAAAACUUACUUCAAAGCAAGAUAGGCAAGACAGCGGCCUAUAUCCCAGCACUCUGGGGGCAGAGAAAGAUCCUCAGAGCAAGCUGGAGAGCUAGCCUGGUCAAAAUGGGCUAGCUCCAAGUUCAAUGACAGAUCCUGACUCAAUAAAUAAUGUGGAAAAAGAUAAAAAGCAGCUGAAACAGACACACAAAUGCAUAUUGUCUCCUCAUAUUUCACAGAAAGAAAGAGAAAGAGAAUACUCUCUAUAAAUACCCAUAUCAUAUAUUCAUUCACAUAUCAAAUUUUAAAAACUAUAGUAAAUAAAAAGAAUAAAAAUUAUCUUAAUAAGCCGGGCGGUGGUGGCGCAUGCCUGUAAUCCCAGCACUCUCGGAGGCAGAGACAGGCAGAUUCCUGAAUUCGAGGCCAGCCUGGUCUACAGAGUGAGUUCCAGGACAGCCAGGGCUACACAAAGAAACCCUGUCUUGAAAAAAAAAUUAUCUUAAUAAACUAUUACUAUUCU